rnacentral:lncRNA from 1 species
UGAGUUUUGAGGAGUCGGCUGGUGUCGGAGAAAGAGGCAGGAGGGAGCAGGUUGGAGAAGGGGAGGAGUGUAAAGAGGUGGGGGAGAAGAAAAGGGGGGAGCAGCAUGAGAGGGAGGUUUGAUAGUGAGACUGAGCUGAGACAGUUUGCAGAGCGAGGAGACAGAGGCAGGAGCAGGACCAGCUCUCCUCUCCUCUCCAUCCCAGAGAAGAACCAGUCCGUCCCAGCUCGCCGGUGCCAAACCCAACAGAAGCUCCAACCAGCCAAGCCGUCUGUGCUGAGAUCAAGAGCCCAUGAUGUCGACAGAGGCUGCCUGAAAACCACGGCCGGCAUCAAACAAAGCGGUUUCAAAGUAAAAGCACCAAAAAGAGGUCUUAAGGAGUCGAUGCAGAGACCUCCAGCAACAAAGGCCUGAGCGAUGAAACCCCUGUGCAGAGAUUAAGAGAAGAUUACAGGGAGUGACUAAUGAUCUCACACAAACACACUAACAAAAAUGUGCU